rnacentral:rRNA from 1 species
AGCGUCUGGAAAGGCGCGCGAUACAGGGUGACAGCCCCGUACACAAAAGCGCAUGUGCUGUGAGCUCGAUGAGUAGGGCGGGACACGUGGUAUCCUGUCUGAAUAUGGGGGGACCAUCCUCCAAGGCUAAAUACUCCUGACUGACCGAUAGUGAACCAGUACCGUGAGGGAAAGGCGAAAAGAACCCCGGCGAGGGGAGUGAAAAAGAACCUGAAACCGUGUACGUACAAGCAGUGGGAGCACAGGUUUACCUGUGUGACUGCGUACCUUUUGUAUAAUGGGUCAGCGACUUAUAUUCUGUAGCAAGGUUAACCGAAUAGGGGAGCCGGAGGGAAACCGAGUCUUAAUUGGGCGUUAAGUUGCAGGGUAUAGACCCGAAACCCGGUGAUCUAGCCAUGGGCAGGUUGAAGGUUGGGUAACACUAACUGGAGGACCGAACCGACUAAUGUUGAAAAAUUAGCGGAUGACCUGUGGCUGGGGGUGAAAGGCCAAUCAAACCGGGAGAUAGCUGGUUCUCCCCGAAAGCUAUUUAGGUAGCGCCUCGUGAAUUCAUCUCCGGGGGUAGAGCACUGUUUCGGCUAGGGGGCCAUCCCGGCUUACCAACCCGAUGCAAACUGCGAAUACCGGAGAAUGUUAUCACGGGAGACACACGGCGGGUGCUAACGUCCGUCGUGAAGAGGGAAACAACCCAGACCGCCAGCUAAGGUCCCAAAGUCAUGGUUAAGUGGGAAACGAUGUGGGAAGGCCCAGACAGCCAGGAUGUUGGCUUAGAAGCAGCCAUCAUUUAAAGAAAGCGUAAUAGCUCACUGGUCGAGUCGGCCUGCGCGGAAGAUGUAACGGGGCUAAACCAU